CAUUACCGUAUCAAACAAUUCUAUACAUCUAUAGAAGCUUCUAUGUUAAAACUAGUAACAAGAAUUAAAAAUUCUCUUCAAUGCAAACGUAAAUCAGAAGGGAUACUCCACUGAUAACUAACACCCAUGAGCCCGCAGUAGCAACUUAACAAGAAAACCCUACUCCACCCAGUGUUAACCUUACACAAGAGCAUUUUUAGAAAGAUUUAAAGAGAAAGAAGGAACUCGGCAAAAUUUAACCCCGCCUGUUUACCAAAAACAUCGCCUCUUGAUAAACCCAUAAGAGGUCCAGCCUGCCCAGUGACUUUGUUCAACGGCCGCGGUAUCCUAACCGUGCGAAGGUAGCGUAAUCACUUGUUCUUUAAUUGAGGACUAGUAUGAAUGGCAUCACGAGGGUUACACUGUCUCCUCCCUCUAAUCAGUGAAACUAAUCUCCCCGUGAAGAAGCGGGGAUAAAACUAUAAGACGAGAAGACCCUAUGGAGCUUUAAACACAGCAACAACUGCCCCACCCCAAUCUUAAUCCCCGGAAAAAAUUAUUUACCAAAGCAUCUUGAUUGCAAGUUUUAGGUUGGGGUGACCGCGGAGCAAAAAAUAACCUCCACAGUGAAUGGGCCUUUUUUCCCUAAACCCAGGGCCACAACCCCAAGAAUCAAUAAAUUGACACCUGUUGACCCAAUAUCUUUGACCAACGAACCAAGUUACCCUAGGGAUAACAGCGCAAUCCACUUCAAGAGCCCCUAUCGACAAGUGGGUUUACGACCUCGAUGUUGGAUCAGGGUGUCCCAGUGGUGCAGCCGCUACUAAAGGUUCGUUUGUUCAACNAUU
rnacentral:rRNA from 1 species